GACGGAAGGUGCAAGCGUUGCUCGGAAUCACUGGGCGUAAAGGGCGCGUAGGCGGUCGUGACAAGUCACUUGUGAAAUCUCCGGGCUUAACUCGGAACGGUCAAGUGAUACUGUCGGACUAGAGUACAGAAGGGGCAACUGGAAUUCUCGGUGUAGCGGUGAAAUGCGUAGAUAUCGAGAGGAACACCUGCGGCGAAGGCGGGUUGCUGGGCUGAUACUGACGCUGAGGCGCGAAAGCCAGGGGAGCGAACGGG
rnacentral:rRNA from 1 species